CCUGAGAAACCCAAAAGUUCGAAUGGAGAGAUUCAUCGUCAGCGAUCCUGGCAAUUGUGCGGUUCGCGAUGUCGGGGGCUUCGUCCUCGUGGCACGCGUCCGUAUGAUUUAUUUGCCGGGUGUCGUCGUCGUGCACUUCUCCCCUAGUAGGACGUCGCGACCCGUUGGGUGUCGGUCUACGACCCGGGUGGGUGCCCGUCAUGUGUUACGCUUUACGGCUGUCAUGUGGCAGACCCCCGGUUGUCCGACCAGCUGCCCGGCGGUACUCGCACGGUAUCGAGCCGCAAUUAAUCGAACUGCGUCCGGCCCGCCGCAAGCGAGGCCAGUGUUUUCCCGGAUGUACGGACUUAGCGCCGUCACCGGGCCUGGCCAGCUGUUGGCCGGCGGUGUCCUGGGACUGGCUCUAUAAUAGAAUACCGGUCGGCGACGCUACUGCUUUGGGUACUUUCAGGA
rnacentral:rRNA from 1 species